rnacentral:rRNA from 1 species
CGCAAGGGAGGCAGCUAACCACGGUAGGGUCAGCGACUGGGGUGAAGUCGUAACAAGGUAGCCGUAGGGGAACCUGCGGCUGGAUCACCUCCUUUCUAAGG